GUGGUGUAUAGAUAAAAAAUGGGGUGCCUAAAUAAGAAAAAGGGGUGUCUAAACCUGAUUUACUCCUAAUAGUAANUUGGGNCCAAGUCCAAGAGAAAAAGAAGUGUUAGAAAGGAAAACAAUAGCUGCCAAAAGCAAUUUAAACAUAAGACUGGACUGGGCCCAAGCCCGAAAGAAAAUGGGGUGGCGCAAAGAAACAAAUGGGUGCAAAGGGAGAUCCCUUAUUUAUUUUUUUGUUUGACCCGAUUCGGCCCAGUUGAUUACUGGUAAGGUGCAGAAUAGUAGACAAUGGGGGUGUAGUAGAAAUAACCUAAAAGACUAAAUAAAAUAAAAAUAAUAAAAAAAAAGAAACGGACCCAGCCCAAACCCCAAAAUUUUCUAGGGUUUUCUCACCCCCAAACCCUGAGGGAUGCCUUCAUUCAGUCCAAACACUCUGAAGCUUCCACUCUCUUUCUCCCACGAGCACCACCCUCUCUGAACCUCAUCACCACCGUCCCAGCCACCGUGACGACGUUCGAUCUCGAUCAGGGGUGCCGCCGGUGACGCGAGUCGCCACCUUAUCAACCGCCGCAAGUCGCCACUCGAUCAGCCACCGUGCCGUUGCCCGAGCCAUCGACAGCUCCGUCGCUCAUGUCCCAAACGUCACCGCCGAUUUCCAAACGUCACCGGAGCUGCAGCCCAAACCGUCGCCAACUCCACCGUUCGCCGUCGAGACCGUCGCCGACAGCCGCCCCAAUGCCUACACUCCUCCUUUUUCGCGUUCGAGGGAGGAAGUCGCCUCUCCCCUCUCUGUUGAACACCGCCGGCGAAUCUGACCACCGCGGGUCACCCUCCUCUCAAUCACGGCCUCCUUUCUCCAAUGGCAGUAGCAAAGUUUUGUUUACCUACUAUUAUUAACCUUAAUGGUGGGAAUCUGGAAUGUGAUUUGCCAAAUACUGGUUUGCAGGUUUGGUUUUGUGAUUAAAGGUGUGAAGGUUCAAAGAGAAACUGGGGAUUGGGGAAAACGAUUGAUGAUCACUCCGAGAAGAUGACAUAUCACGGUGAGUUGAAAUGAGCAUGUAUGGUAUCGGUGAUUGAGGAGAAUAAGUUCGUUUAUGGAUGCAUAAGUCUUCCUAUGGUGGGGGUACGAAGGUAUAUGCUGAAACCAUGUUUGUUGAGUGGUUCAUCGAUGAAAGACGGCUACAACACAGAUUGAGGGGAGUUUAUGGUUUGCUAGAGAGAAAAAUCUACUCCUCUUUAUUUUUGUAUGAGAAACAACAUAAGAAUGUGUUUAUGACUCUGCUUCUGUUUUCUCUUUUUUUUUAGUAUUUUCUGGACACAAAUAAGUGGAUACUGAAGUCUGUAUGUCUAUCUUUUAUUGCUAGCUAAACCUGAUGAAAUUUGAAGGCAUUGAAACUGCAUUUUGGGUGCAGUCUUGAUUGACAAAGGAUAUCACAAAGAAAAAGAACAACCAUAUACACGCAUAUUUCAUUCAUAUUCUAGGCAUGUAACAGAGACAUAUAACAGGGGGACAGAGCAGCAGACAUUCAUAUGCGACCAAGAGCUUAGAGAAGACCACUUACCUCCGCAGCUUCAAAGAACUGGUGAAGUCAAAUGGUUCUCCUCUUCUCUGGCCGUGAGGUGCUCUUCCCGAGUGGCGAUGAUCCAUGAUGGCAACAGUAUUGGGUCCCCAACGUUAUCUGAUGGUGAGUUGGGUGUCCUCUCCUUGUGGUGGUGAAAUGUUUGAAUCUGAAUAAAAUCGUUGCCCGAGUGUUCUCCCUGUGCUCUUGUUCAGAUGGUUUGAUAGUGAAGUUUUUUUGAAUAAUGGUUCCCCUCUCUUUUUUCUCUGUGCUCUUCCCCCCUCCUUGUAUCCCUUUUUUUCUCUAUUGUACCAUUUCAUACCGUUUCAUAGGUAUCCUCUGGCUCUGGAUUUUCUUUGUUUUUUUCUUGUUUCAUGUUUCCACUUUUCAGUUGGUAUACACUUGUUUAAAAUUCUUUCCAUUUCAA